UAACUUACUGUACUAUUUGUUACUUUCAAACUUGUAUCUUUCAAAAUUACAAAACUUAGCCGAAGUAAAAUUAAUAGCUAAUUAUGUGAAAAAGCAAGAAUAUCCCCAACACGUGACCCUAUUCACUUGUUGGAAUAAACGAACAAUAUUAACAGUAUACAAACAGCUUGCAGAGAAAAAAAUUGUUUUAAACGUGCUCACAAAUCAUUGGAAAAUAAAUCAAACCAAACUUUCACAACACACAUUUCUAGUCGGUGACACAUUGUGUCCACAAUUUAAUUCACUCCUCAGUCACGCCAAAUUAUUACAAGCUCCAAAUAAAUGGCUAGUCUUCGAUCAAAAUUCUACUGUAAAUACAAAUGAUCUGCUCUUGGACAGCAACUUUGCAGUGGCUUCGCAAAUUUCAAACGGUCGGUUUCAUCUAAAACUGUGCUACAAACGUGCACCAAAUGAAACAAUCAAGUUUAACGAAAUUGGAGUUUUUUCGAAUGGUUUUGAGUAUUAUAAUCACUUUAUACCUACUCGAAACCGUUCAGAUCUAA